rnacentral:lncRNA from 1 species
GAUUCAAAAUAUUGAGUUAAAAAAAACUUUAUUUACAUACUAUAUCUAAAAUCGUAUAAAAAAUACAAUCUACAAAAAUAAAUAACGUUUGGUUCAACAGUACCAAAAAAACAAAGUUGAAAAAAUACUUACCUAUUAUGUAACAUUUAUACACAACUUAUAAAAAUAAGGCAAAAUUUAAAUUCCUGAGAAUGUACAUUUAAGGGAGGAUUAUUAAGUAAAUGCCACAUAUUUAAAUAGUCCGAUACAUAGUACAAUGGGCCAGGAUAGCUCAGGCAGUAGGAUGUCCGACUUCCACGCAGGCGUGCCGGGGAUCGAAUCCCGGCGAGAAUAUCUAGACGUAUUUAAAAAUGUCUAUAGGCCCCAGGUCGACUCAGCCUGAAUAAAAUGAGUACCUUGGGUAAAACCGGGGGUAAUAAUAGACGGAUGAAGCCGUAGCAUUUGCCCUGUUACCUUCCUUGUAUACCGUAGGCCCUAGAGAUAGCAGACUACCCUGCUAUAAUCCCAAACACAGAUCACUUAAUUCUCUUUAGAUGUUUCACGGAGGUAUCUCAAGGUCAUCCUAAACUAAAUGUCAUUUUUAGUAAUGAUACGUUUUUUGACAUGUCGGCAUGCACCUGGAGUGAAGAUUUCUUCUUUAUCACUGAGUCUGAGUGUCAUUAUAAUUUGUCAAUUGUUAUCAUUGUCAUUGUCAGUAUGCCUUUAUCUUUAUGUCAGUAAAUGUUUAUCUGAUUGUUAGCAAUAAUAAAAAAUCCUGAUUUAGAUAAAAUUGAUUCAAAUACAGUUUUUGAAACAAAACGAAUGUGAUUUGAAGAUCCCUAGGAAGAUAAAAUUCCUAGCUUACAUUUGCAUGGUGAGUUCAACAAGUAUUUGUUAUUAGAGAACAAGUAACACAGUUAGUGGUGUAGGGAAGCAAACGAAUGUAACACCAAUUGAAAGUCCUUCAACAAGUAGAGAUGCACACAUGUUUCAAUCAUUUGAGAUACCCUUUUGUAGAAGUAUUUGGAACUCAAUUUGGAAGAUAACUAUUAAUAAUUUCAUUUGUAAAGAUACGAUUUGUAAAAAAGUAUAUACAAAGUGGUUUUGCUGGUAUUAAAUAAAUAAAUAAAAAUACGUUGUCAUGUCUUAUUUUUUCCCAAAUAGUAUUUUGUAUAUUUGAAAUUAAAAAUAAUUUGCAUAUUUUAAAACCAAAUUAUUUUUUUUCAACUAUACAAAUAUUUUAACCUAACAUUUUCUUCCCACCAAAA